CCCACGUGUCUCAGGGGGAAUGGGCUUGCCUGCUUCGUUUCCUGACUCCUCUCCUAGGCGCUUUGAUCCGGCUUUCCAGUUCUUGCACAAGCAAGUUUGUGUCAGCCACGCCCUGGGGAGGAUCCACCGGAUCACCGCAGUCAGCAGCCUGUUCCCAGCGGCCUCUCUGGCUUCCCUAAAGAGGGCAGGUGGGAUUUUCUACAACGCUGCUGUGCACGACGUGGAUGCCGUAUGCAUGUUGCUGGGGAAGCCACUCCGGACACUGUGUUUUUUCUGGGACGUGGCUUCUGCCCAGAUGAAAACUCAGCCUGUAAUCAGUCUGAUUGGUGUGGACAGCGACCAUUCAGAGGCUGGAGUGAGUGAAGUUACAAAGUUGCAAACGGAGACUUGACCCACAAUCAGUCUGAUUUGUUGCAGACAGCCAGUUUUCCAUCUGCCAGGCAGAAAAGAUAUGGCCGCCUUAAAAGAUGCAGACGCUGUUGGGAUCAGCAUGAAGUUUCCCUGUGAGGCUGUGGUCAGCAUGGACGUCAGCCAGCACUGCACAGACAGCUGCGACCAGGACGUCAGCCAGCACUGCGCAGACAGCUGCGACCAGGACGUCAGCCAGCACUGCGCAGACAGCUGCGACCAGGACGUCAGCCAGCACUGCGCAGACAGCUGCGACCAGAGACUGGAGGUGACCACUGCCCUUUUCCACCCUUUGCCAGUCCACUGUGAAAAGCUGGGUUGAUUGUGCGGGUUAGAUAGAGGUCGUCAGCCGGGUUGAUUCCGC
rnacentral:sRNA from 1 species